GACGAACGCUGGCGGCGUGCCUAAUACAUGCAAGUCGUGCGGACCUUGUUGAAAGCUUGCUUUUCAAAGGUUAGCGGCGGACGGGUGAGUAACACGUGGGCAACCUGCCUGUAAGGCUGGGAUAACGCCGGGAAACCGGGGCUAAUACCAGAUCGUUUUUUCCUCCGCAUGGAGGAAAAAGGAAAGGCGGCUUCGGCUGCCACUUACAGAUGGGCCCGCGGCGCAUUAGCUAGUUGGCGGGGUAAUGGCCCACCAAGGCAACGAUGCGUAGCCGACCUGAGAGGGUGAUCGGCCACAUUGGGACUGAGACACGGCCCAAACUCCUACGGGAGGCAGCAGUAGGGAAUCUUCCGCAAUGGACGAAAGUCUGACGGAGCAACGCCGCGUGAGUGAAGAAGGCCGUCGGGUCGGAAAACUCUGUUGCCGGGGAAGAACAAGUGCCGUUCGAACAGGGCGGCGCCUUGACGGUACCCGGCCAGAAAGCCACGGCUAACUACGUG
rnacentral:rRNA from 1 species